AGUUAGUCAUUAGUUUAGCCAUUAAGUACACAGUUACAUUUGUUAUAAGUAAUACUAGAAGAUCAGGGAUAGUUUUAUUGAGUACCCACUAUAGCAAGCACUGAAGAAGUAAUGGAACUGGAGUUUGCAUAUUAGAAUGAGCCCUGAGCUAUACUAGUCAUGCUUUGAGAUGUGCUUAAAAACUUUGUGAAUUACACAGCACUGAAAGCUUAACAUUACUUUCAUCAAACUCUGGUUUAUUCUCAUAUCCUUUUGUGAAAGCUAGAGUUCUUUUGAAAAGUAUGAGCAGGGCCAGGCAUGAUCAUGUAUGCAUUUAAAACAUCCCUGAGUUCAAGGUCACUCUGGUCUUCUUUGAGCUUCAAGGCAGCCAGGGAUGAUUAACCCUGUCUCAAAAAAAAAAAAAAAUUAAAAAUUAAAAAUAGGAGGAAAUGUGAGAAGCAGCAGAGCAGUGUACAACAUUGUUAAGGAAUUUUCCCCUGGAAGGGAAAUUCAGAGUUUUUAACAAUAGCCAUGCUGAUAAUGCUUUUGACUUAAUGUUGUUGGCUAAGUACACACAACACUGAGAGUUAGGCAUCCCUAACGAGAAAAUCUAAACUCUCCCAAGGUUGAAAGAUUUCUGGAUCUUUUCAGACCAGUCAUAUUCAGCCUAUAUAUGCACAGACUUACACAGAAUAAGUACCAAUAUUUUGUAGUGUUUGUUUAUUACCUUUGUGUGUAUACAUAAACAUUUAUACAUGCUAGUAUUUCAUAAUAGUACUAUUAAUGUGUUUGUUAUUGCUUCACAGUGAAGAAUUGAAUUUCACCAUGUCUGGAAUCAAGCGAACAAUCAAAGAAACUGACCCUGAUUAUGAGGAUGUAUCUGUGGCCCUUCCAAAUAAGCGGCAUAAAGCGAUUGAGAGUUCAGGUAGCCGUCGAGUUGCUUUUGAGACUUAACUUUGCUGACAUUUGCCUGUGCAUAAGGGUUUAUAAAAUCUACAUGAAUAUCUACAAUCAUAUAUAAGCUGAAGGAUAUUUGAAGGGUUAGCCUAGUGCUCUGUGCAGUUCACCAUGUGUCACAUACAAGGGAGGGGAUCUGGCAGGAACAUGAUUAAAGUAAGCUGUAAAUCUUAGCUAUUGUUGCAAUAUAGCUAAAAUCAGAAUGUUGGCAACUGGAGAGAUGGCUCAGUGGUCAAAAGUGCAUUCCAGUCUUUUUAUUUCUUAAAGAUUUUCCCCCCUUUUUGGUUUUGAGAGAAGGUCUCUGUUAUGUAGUUCUGACUGUUCUAGAACUAACUCUAGAUCAGGCUGGCCUGAACUUACAUCGUCCCACCUGCCUCUGCCUCCUGGGUAUCAGAUUAAAGGUAUCUGCCAUUGUGUUCAGUGUUUUGUUUUGAGACGGGGUUUCUCUGUGUAGCCUUGGCUGCCCUGGAACCCACCCUGUAGACCAUGCUGGCCUUGAACUCCUGGGAACUGGGAUUAAAGGCCUGUGCUGCUACCAACUAGCCUUUUUUUUUUCUUGGUAAUUUUAUGUAUAUAAGUGUUUAUGCACCAUGCACAUGCAUUUCUUGUGUAGCCCAAAAGAGCCCAGGUGUUGGAGCCUCUGAAACUGGAGUUGCAAGAGAUUAUUAGUUCCAAUGUGAGUGUUAGGAGUCAAACCUGUUUCCUCUGCAAGAGUAGCCAGUGCUCCUGACAGCUGAGCCCUCACUCUAGCUCCCAAGUUCAGUGCUCUUGCAGAGGAUCCAAGUUUGGUUCCCAGCAUCCAUGUCAGGUAGGUCACAGUAACCUGUAACUCUGGCUCCAGGGAAGUAGAUGCCUUCUUUGGUCUCCAUGGGCAUCUGCACUCACACACAUAAACAUAUAAUUAAAACUGAAAUAAAUCUUUAAAAAUAAUAAUAUAAAAUCAAAGUUUUUUGAUGUCUCUGUAAUAUGGAAUAACCAUGUGAGGUGAUUGUAUGUAAUAAAGGUUUUUAAUAUAGCUUCAUAUUAUUUUUAUGUAUAUAGAAAUAAAAAUGACCAAGUUGUUUCAUGGAUACUGUUGCUUAAAUAGGAUAACAUUACUUUCAAGUGUUAGUUGUCCUCAUUAAAUGUUUCACUUGGGUGUUAGCUAGUAAAUGUCAAAGGAGGAGAGAUUUCUCUUGACUCAUGCUUUUAGAGUUUGGCUGGUUCCAUUGCUCCUAGGCCUGAGGUGAGGGAGGAUAUGAGGAAAUCAUUCUUGUAGUAGUGGGGCUGUUCUCGGUACAAGAGUCCAGAAGCUGAAGGAGAAAGAGUGAGCCACAACGGCUUAGGAUAAGAUGUAUCCUUCAGCCAGGUGAUGGUUUGAGCACCUUUAGUCUCAGAGGCAGUGGGUCUCUGAAUUCGAGGCCAUCCUGGUCUGCAGAGCAAGUUCCAGGACAGCUGGAGCUACACAGAAAAAUCUGUAUUGAAAAACAGCUGUGUGGGGGGAUAUAAUCUUUCAAAGGCACGGGCUUCUUCCAACUAGGUACUAGGUCACACACCUAGACUCACUAAGACCUUGCUCGCAAUAGCAUUGUCAGCUGGAACCAAGGUUUUAGUACAUGAACGUUUGGGAACGUGCCAGAUGUGAUUACAAUCUUGAAGGUCAUCUGUGAACGAUGGAAAUUUAGAAAAUACUGAUCUAGUACUACUAACCCUGCUUGUAGCUGCUAGUGGGGAUUUAAGGUUCAUUUGUAUUUCACUAUUAUGUAAUCUGUUGAAAAUAAAUUACUGAUUACAUUAACAUUUUGAAUCAUGGUUUAUCUUUGUUUUUUUAAACUAACAUAAAAUGAUACAUAUUUGAGGCUGGACAGAUGGCUCGGAGUCAGCAGUUAAGAACCUUUGCUGUUCUGUCCCCAGCACUUACUGGGCUACUCACAGCCUCCAGCAAGUCCAGCUCCAGGUUAUCUGACACCUUCUUCUGGCUUCCACAGAUACCUGCAUAUUCAUGUGCACGAAUAUACAUACACAAAUAAAAGAUAUUUUUAUUAACUAUAUUUAUGACCUUUCUGUCUGUCUAUCACACGGUAUUUUGUUAUUAGCUUACUUUUUUCUUCCCUAUCUUACAGUUUCAUGCAGAUGAAAAAGACAUAUUUUUCUUUCUGAACCAUUUAAGAACAGAUUAUAUAGUUUUAUUUCUAUGUACUUGUUUAGGCUAUUGUGUGAUGAACUCAAAGCAGUUUUUGUUUUUUGGGGGGUGAGAGUGGGGACUGGUUUCUUUGGCUGCUGAUUUUAAAUCAGUAGGUACUGAUUAAUUUGGUAUGUUUUUUGUUCUUUCUGUAGCUCGAGAUGCAGCUGUGCAGAAAAUUGAGACUAUUAUUAAGGAGCAGUUUGCUCUUGAGAUGAAGAAUAAGGAACAUGAGAUUGAUGUCAUUGACCAGGUAUAAUAAUGAUAAAUUGAGAACACUAAAUUUAUGGGAGGGAAAAUAUAUUAUUUGUUGAGGUUUAU
rnacentral:lncRNA from 1 species